rnacentral:rRNA from 1 species
AUUGAACGCUGGCGGCAGGCCUAACACAUGCAAGUCUAACGAGUGGCGGACGGGUGAGUAAUGUCUGGGAAACUGCCUGAUGGAGGGGGAUAACUACUGGAAACGGUAGCUAAUACCGCAUACCAUCAGAUGUGCCCAGAUGGGAUUAGCUAGUUGGUGGGGUAACGGCUCACCAAGUCGACGAUCCCUAGCUGGUCUGAGAGGAUGACCAGACACACUGGAACGGAGACACGGUCCAGACUCCUACGGGAGGCAGCAGUGGGGAAUAUUGCACAAUGGGAGCAAGCCUGAGGCAGCCAUGCCGCGGGUAGGAAGAAGGCCUUCGGGUUGUAAAGUACUUUCAGCGGGGAGGCGUUACCCGCAGAAGAAGCACAGGAUAACUCCGUGCCAGCAGCCGCGGUAAUAC